rnacentral:rRNA from 1 species
GACGUAGGAGGCGAGCGUUGUCCGGAUUCAUUGGGCGUAAAGAGCUCGUAGGCGGCUUGUCGCGUCGUCCGUGAAAACCCACAGCUCAACUGUGGGCUUGCGGUCGAUACGGGCAGGCUAGAGUUCGGUAGGGGAGACUGGAAUUCCUGGUGUAGCGGUGAAAUGCGCAGAUAUCAAGUGGAACACCAGUGGCGAAGGCGAGUCCCUGGACAGAUCCUGACGCUGAGGCACGAAAGCUAGGGGAGCAAACAGG